GAUGAACGCUGGCGGCGUGCCUAAUACAUGCAAGUCGAGCGAACAGACGAGGAGCUUGCUCCUCUGACGUUAGCGGCGGACGGGUGAGUAACACGUGGAUAACCUACCUAUAAGACUGGGAUAACUUCGGGAAACCGGAGCUAAUACCGGAUAAUAUAUUGAACCGCAUGGUUCAAUAGUGAAAGACGGUUUUGCUGUCACUUAUAGAUGGAUCCGCGCCGCAUUAGCUAGUUGGUAAGGUAACGGCUUACCAAGGCGACGAUGCGUAGCCGACCUGGAAGAGUGAUCGGCCACACUGGAACUGAGACACGGUCCAGACUCCUACGGGAGGCAGCAGUAGGGAAUCUUCCGCAAUGGGCGAAAGCCUGACGGAGCAAAGCCGCGUGAGUGAUGAAGGUCUUAGGAUCGUAAAACUCUGUUAUUAGGGAAGAACAAAUGUGUAAGUAACUAUGCACGUCUUGACGGUACCUAAUCAGAAAGCCACGGCUAACUACGUG
rnacentral:rRNA from 1 species